rnacentral:lncRNA from 1 species
GGCUGGCUGGAGGCAGAGAGGGCGAGCCAGGGCGGGGCUUGGCCUGACAGGCCCGAGCGGACCCGCCCCUUCGCGGUUGCCCCAGGAAAGAGCCUGAUUUGUUUGUUUGUUUGCUCAUAGCUUUUCCUUCUCCCAACUCCUCGCUCAUCCAGAAAUAGAGUCUUGCCCUAAAAUGUUACUUUUGAAGAUUUCAGCCAUCUUGAAUCAUGCAAGGUUAUCGCCAUGCCUCUUCUUCAUGCCUCCAGAUCCUUCAGCUCUGACGUUGGAUGGCAGCAACUAACAGCAGAGUCACUGAGAGGGAUGAGAUAGCUGAAUGCUUGGUACAUGAAACAAUGAAGAAGACCAUUGUCUUCUUGGUACAUGAAACAAUGAAGAAGACAAGUGUCCCAGUGGACAUUGCUGAUGAAAGAGGGUGGAGAUUGUCUACAGCGUGGAGUCUCCCAUGUGGCCAGUGGAAGUCCUCUGCCCAGUCAGACUUUGUGCGACAGAGGGAAGAAGAAGCAGCUCUAUAA